rnacentral:rRNA from 1 species
UACGGGGGGGGCAAGCGUUGUUCGGAAUUACUGGUCGUAAAGGGCUCGUAGGUGGCCAACUAAGUCAGACGUGAAAUCCCUCGGCUUAACCGGGGAACUGCGUCUGAUACUGGAUGGCUUGAGUGUGGGAGAGGGAUGCGGAAUUCCAGGUGUAGCGGUGAAAUGCGUAGAUAUCUGGAGGAACACCGGUGGCGAAGGCGGCAUCCUGGACCAUUACUGACACUGAAUAGCGAAAGCCAGGGGAGCAAACGGG